rnacentral:rRNA from 1 species
AGCUCACCUUAGUUUUUUUAUUAAACUAAACAAACCCCCAGACUUAAGAGUUAUUCAGAUAAGGCACAGCUUAUUUGAAGUAGGACACAACCUACAACAUAGGGUAAACAAGAGUAACCUGAAUAAAGUGGGCCUAAAAGCAGCCACCUUUAGAAAAGCGUUAAAGCUUAACUUCCUUCACUCAUAAUACCUAAAAUCUUCACUAACCCCUCACUGCUACUGAACAAUUUUAUACCCGUAUAAAAGCUAUAAUGCUAGAACUAGUAACAAGAAACUGCUUUUCUCCUAAAUGUAAACAUAAACCAAAAUAGACUAUCUAAUGGUUAUUAACGUAGAUGCUAAGUUAUAGUAACUCUGCUAGAAAAUCCUAUAAACCCUAACGUUAACCUUACACUAGAACAUUACAGGAAAGAUUAAAAGAAAAAGAAGGAACUCGGCAAAUUUUAGCCUCGCCUGUUUACCAAAAACAUCGCCUCUUGACAAAACAUAAGAGGUCCAGCCUGCCCAGUGACAAAGUUCAACGGCCGCGGUACCCUGACCGUGCGAAGGUAGCAUAAUCACUUGUUCUUUAAAUAGGGACUUGUAUCAACGGCACUACGAAGGCUAUACUGUCUCCUUUUUCUAAUCAGUGAAACUGAUCUCCCCGUGAAGAAGCGGGGAUUAAAGUAUAAGACGAGAAGACCCCAUGGAGCUUUAAACUCACCAUGCACCUCUGUGCUCCUACACCCUUAAACACAAUAGGUCUGCAUGUUAGUUUUAGGUUGGGGUGACCACGGAGUAUAACUUAACCUCCAUAGCAAAUGGGCUAAUACCCUUAUCCACGAGACACAACUCUAAGAAUUAUUAAACUAAUGCUUACGACCCGAUAUUCGAUCAAUGAACUAAGUUACCCUGGGGAUAACAGCGCAAUCUACUUCAAGAGCCCAUAUCGACAAGUAGGUUUACGACCUCGAUGUUGGAUCAGGGUAUCCUGGUGGUGCAGCCGCUACCAACGGUUCGUUUGUUCAACGAAUAAAACCCUACGUGAUCUG